CCGGGCGACCGGCGCACGGGUGAGUAACACGUAUGCAACCUGGCCGUGACAGAUGGAUAACCGGGAGAAAUCCCGCCUAAUACAGCAUGACGCCGCGGGAGGACAUCCUCCCGCGGCCAAAGGGGCGACCCGGUCACGGAUGGGCAUGCGGCGCAUUAGGUAGUUGGUGGGGCAACGGCCCACCAAGCCGACGAUGCGUAGGGGUUCUGAGAGGAAGGUCCCCCACAUUGGAACUGAGACACGGUCCAAACUCCUACGGAAGGCAGCAG
rnacentral:rRNA from 1 species